CCCUUAGAUGUUCUGGGCCGCACGCGCGCUACAAUGAUGCAUUCAACGAGUUUAUAACCUUGGUUGAAAAGCCUGGGUAAUCUUUUGAACUUUCGUCGUGAUGGGGCUAGACCCUUGCAAUUAUUGGUCUCCAACGAGGAAUUCCUAGUAAACGCAAGUCAUCAGCUUGCGUUGAUUACGUCCCUGCCCUUUGUACACACCGCCCGUCGCUCCUACCGAUUGAAUGGUCCGGUGAAGCGCUCGGACCGCGGCCUCUUGACGGUUUUCCGUCGAUUGGCUGUGGGAAGUUCGUUAAACCUUAUCAUUUAGAGGAAGGAGAAGUCGUAACA
rnacentral:rRNA from 1 species